rnacentral:lncRNA from 1 species
UGAGUCAUCUUUCCCAAAACUAGACCACCAACUCGUAUCUUCUUUUUCUUUUGUAGGAAUGACGUGAUGAGACCUUUCGUAAAAUUUACUAAAAGACCCGAUGCCCUUGACCAACCAGGACUGAGUUUACCAAACUUUUCUGAGCUAUCCAAGGAUUGACCGUAGCCAUAGGACAGAACCAAGCUAACCCUUGUUCGCACCCUGCCCUGGAAUACCGAAUAACCAAAAGUUCUAUCUCUCACAAUAUAGCAGAGUUUAGGAAGCUUAAUCCCUCACACUUUGAAGGUGGCCCUGACCCCUUAGUAGUCGAAGCAUGGAUCCUACAGAUAGAGAAGUUUUUCUGUCUUAGAC